UACGUAGGGUGCAAGCGUUGUCCGGAAUUAUUGGGCGUAAAGAGCUCGUAGGCGGUUUGUCGCGUCGGCUGUGAAAACUCGGGGCUCAACCCCGAGCCUGCAGUCGAUACGGGCAGACUAGAGUGCGGUAGGGGAGACUGGAAUUCCUGGUGUAGCGGUGAAAUGCGCAGAUAUCAAGAGGAACACCUGCGGCGAAGGCGGGUUGCUGGGCCGACACUGACGCUGAUGCGCGAAAGCCAGGGGAGCGAACGGG
rnacentral:rRNA from 1 species